GAGAAAUGCCAAGGAUUGAAUCUGGGACCUUAUCUACAGAAGGCAUGUGCACCAGCACAAAAAUAUGGCCGCUCCCUCAGCUGGUGACAGACUUCUGGAAUCAGAUGGCAAAAAACAGUGUUGAUUUCCUGGUCUGCUCUACCGGGUUGACAGCAGCUGGCACAGAGUCCAGACGGUCUGCGUUAUGUCCCCAUUGAAAGUUCCAGCCAUAAUCAGGUCACUGCAUUCUGGACCAACUACUUCUUCCAAAUGAUUUUAAAAUACAGACAUAAGUACACUGCAUUGCAGCAACCCAGCUGAGUGGUGAUAAUGAGAUAAAGCACCAGUGCAAGAUGUACUCAAUUAAUUGAAUUUUCUUGGUUUUCAAUCUCUCUGAACCAUGCAACUAUCUACAGUGGCUGCUUUCAUGUCACAGACUGAGCCACAAAGGAGCCAAUUCAGGCUAACAUGUUGUGCAAGUCCAGCUGUUGUUGAAAAAAAAUCUUAUUUCUUGUUGAUGUCUACUUAUAAUUAAAGAGAUAAGCCCUGGUAGGAAAGGAAAGGAAAAGAAAGGAAAAAAUAGAACCCUCAUCACCUUUAAAAAAGCGCUCAAUAUCUUUCCGUGUUUGCACAGAGACAAUUUUUCUUCUUCGUAAGAGCUUUGUCAGAAAUGUUAUGUAUCCAACACAUUGCCAAUAGUUUUUAGACUGACCAGGGUUCUGUUUCCAUAACUUGCUAAACUGUGCAUCGUGACUUACAAAAAAUAACGAAGCUAAAACUAGAAAAACAUACUAUAUUUCAAGACAUUGUGUGAAUUAUUAGCCCAUCACAUAACAAAAGUUGCUUUUGUUACUAUGUCAUGUGAAUACAUUCAUGAUCUGUUAACUGUGGUUUGUGGCAAAAAAUAUGCUACAUAUAUAGCUUACGAGUUAAGUUCAUAAAUCAUAUGAAAUAAUGAUAGCGAUGAUUUAAUUUGGGGGUUAGCAAUGACUUGGAGUAACAUUUCUUUUAAUUCAGCAAAUGGUUGUGCCAACAUAAUACACUAAACUUCUGUUAGUAGGUUAAAGGGUGUACUCACCACCAUUUUAGCCUAUGCUAAAGCUAUGCUUUUAGCUGUUCCUGAGAUCUAUUUUCAGUGUCAGAUUUUAGCUUGUUGGUAUGUAAAAAAUGGUGUGGAUCCAGCCAACCAUCUUACCACCCGAGAUACUAAUAGAAAGCAUUCCUGCUUGAUAAGCCUUCCCUACCUAACCACCCAUGG